rnacentral:rRNA from 1 species
UUUCCGUAGGUGAACCUGCGGAGGGAUCAUAGUCGAACCU